CUCGUGGGCCGUCAGAUGCGCAUGAUCAAGCCACGCGACCCGCUCUGUUCCGACAGCGCCGGGCAGCCCACAUGCCUCUUCACCCUCAAUCCCUAGGGUUGGUCCAGGCCAUUCCAGUGCGACAGCCGCCAUGCUCGCCGGCUCGCCCUCUCCGCCGCGCCGCGAGGGACCUCCGCUUCCGUCAUCGACCCCUCCACUCCAUAGAAGGACUCGCCCUUCAGACCCCCCUCCCAUUCCUGCCACGAGCCCCAACUACAAGCGAGACGGCAGAUCGGGUGAACACCGAUGGCCGCGAGCCUGCCACCGCGAAUUGGUACUGACCUCCCAACCUCAUCUCCGGCCACCGACGCCCGGCGGGAUGUUGGCCGACCAGCCACCAAAGAAGAGCCCCACGAGCUCAUCUCCCUGCCGCCGCCGAACCAGCACGGGGCGUCAAGGCCUCCAGGCGGCUCGUCCCUGACAAGCUAGGCGCAUAUCGGGAUCCCAUGGUCCCACGUGGCCGCCCUCAAUGCCGCCGGGGAACUCAUCUGCUGCCUCCUCAUCUCUGCUGCAAGAGCAUAGCUCCCGCUGUCCUCUCAAGGUCCUUAUUUGUGAUAUUGCUAAGUUGUACCGGGAAGCGGUGGAUCCUGGGCGGCGUGGCUAAUACCAUCUCGAGCGGUGGUGAAGGAGGCCAUGGCGCCUAUCUCGAGCAGGUUACGGCGCCCGCAAUGCCUUCGUGAGCGCAAGCCCGCCGCGGCCCCUGACCAACUCGUAGUUUUCGGUGAAAUCGAGAUCUACAUGGAGAUGAGGAGGAAGACAAGUAUUUGGAGGAGUAAGAAGAGUGGGAGUAGUUCGCCAAGAGAUAUCGCGCGUUGUUGUCCGCUGAAUUUCCCUUAUGUGUGAUCUCUCUUUUUUCCUUGAGCAAUGCUAUAUGAAAUUCGUAUGAUAGCUGGUACGAUCAGACUCAUAGUGGCGUGGGUUAGUAUGUGUACCAUACGAUGAGAAGCCCUCCAUGGGUCUUUUCAUACAGAUGUUGUACAGAUUUCUUUGUAUGAGACAUAUUUCUGUUUUUCCUGAU